CAUAUCUGAUGUGGUCACAGUAUCUGCAAAUGUUGAGGAAGAGGUAUUCCCAUUUUGUUCUUUAUGCUGCAUGCUGGUCACUGAAUGUGUAGGUCACGAACGGUACACGUUUCGAAAUACACAGAUCACACGCAUCCAUGAAUUCAUGUUACAUUCAUUCUGCAUAAACUAACAUUUUAUCUUUUUCAAUACACAGGAAUCUCCAACUUCUGAACCGCCUUCUGAAUUACCAAUGAAGCGGGUGUCAAGGCCAGCGAGGAUUUUGUGUUCUCCAUUUGUUGCGGGUGCAGGAAAGUUAUCCGGCAUGACGACAACAUUAUUGUAUUUGGAAGUUACAAAGACAAUGUUGAAGAAGCUGAUAAGUCGACAUUCUUGGGUUGGUUCCAGAGAGGGUACAAGCCCAAAAAAAGGCACGAAUAUUUUCUUCCCUUUCUUCAAUCUAUUGCUCAUAUGGUCACAGUAAAUUGUUCUUACAUUUCUUAUUUCAGGAAAAAGUUUAAUGAGCAUGAUGACGUAAUCAAACCAGCUUUUGUUAUUGGCUCAUAUCCAGUCGGUAACAAAACAUGGUUCCACCAACUCGUAGACCCUGAGACGUCUUUGAAUAGCGGGGUAUGGUAACAUUCAUGUAUUUGUUCACUGUACAAUUACUUGUUAACAAAUGAGACCACGUUACGACUCUGCUACCACAUCAUGCACGAACUACUAUGCGGUUCACUGACAUAGUGGUCUCAUAAGUAUAUGUUUUGUUCAACAAGUCACAUACCAACCUGGUCACAAGUCACAGAAUCACAACUUUAUGAAAUUUUCUGAUGUUGCUCUUAUUUCUUAUCUUUUUGAUCACACAGCACAUGGAUGCAUGCUUCUACUACAUUCGACAGCUAGCAAAAUUUGGAAAAAUACAGUACAGAGCUACAACAACAAACUCCUCUUUCCAGAACAUGAUAAAAGACAUAUACCCCGCUUUCAAAAAAGAUCCUAAUGUUCUGUUGUCAGGAAGCCGGUUGUUCCAG
rnacentral:lncRNA from 1 species